GCCCGAGUGGUUCAAGGGUAGAAUACUCGCCUCCCAUGGGGUGAACAGCGAGUGAACCGAGUUCGAGUCUCGGCUCGGGCA